rnacentral:tRNA from 1 species
CCUGUUGAUACUCAGGGAUACUCGCCCGUUCGGCUUCCCAAGCUGAAUACGCGGGUUCGAUUCCCGUCAUCGGCUCCA